AUUGAACGCUGGCGGCAUGCCUAACACAUGCAAGUCGAACGGCAGCACGGCAGUAGCAAUACUGUGGGUGGCGAGUGGCGGACGGGUGAGGAAUACGUCGGAAUCUGCCCAGUCGUGGGGGAUAACUAGCCGAAAGGUUAGCUAAUACCGCAUACGACCGAGAGGUGAAAGCGGGGGACCGCAAGGCCUCGCGCGAUUGGAUGAGCCGACGUCGGAUUAGCUAGUUGGAGGGGUAAAGGCCCACCAAGGCGACGAUCCGUAGCUGGUCUGAGAGGAUGAUCGGCCACACUGGAACUGAGACACGGUCCAGACUCCUACGGGAGGCAGCAGUGGGGAAUAUUGGACAAUGGGCGCAAGCCUGAUCCAGCAAUGCCGCGUGUGUGAAGAAGGCCUUCGGGUUGUAAAGCACUUUUAUCAGGAACGAAAAGCGUUGGAUUAAUACUCUGACGUGCUGACGGUACCUGAGGAAUAAGCACCGGCUAACUUCGUG
rnacentral:rRNA from 1 species